UGCGCAGGCGGUUCGCCAAGUCAGGUGUGAAAUCCCCGGGCUUAACCUGGGAAUUGCGCUUGAAACUAGCGGGCUUGAGUGUGGCAGAGGGGGGUGGAAUUCCACGUGUAGCAGUGAAAUGCGUAGAGAUGUGGAGGAACACCGAUGGCGAAGGCAGCCCCCUGGGUCAACACUGACGCUCAUGCACGAAAGCGUGGGGAGCAAACAGGAUUAGAUACCCUGGUAGUCCACGCCCUAAACGAUGUCGACUAGGUGUUGGGGAAGGAGACUUCCUUAGUACCGCAGCUAACGCGUGAAGUCGACCGCCUGGGGAGUACGGUCGCAAGAUUAAA
rnacentral:rRNA from 1 species